GGACCCUCGUGCUCCAGAGGCGGAUCCAAAGGCAGUCGCUUACCUAGGUACUUCGGUGUAGCAUAUAUAGCUGCAUACCUUUUUCACUGUGUCAAAGCCUCUUUACUUUUGAAGAUUCGCCGCCCUUGAAGUCUUGUUGCCGUCGAAGGCUCUCGCCGUCGAAGGUUCUCGCCGUCCAAGGCUCGUCACCGGUGAAGGCUCACCGCCGUCGAAGGCUCGCUGCUGUGGAAGGCUUUGCCGCACUCUGCCGUCGCCGAACUGUCGAAGGUUCUACCACCAUCGGUCGAAGAUUCUGAGAACAGUUCUCCUGUGUAAAUAUGGAACCCUAAGCUACAAAUGUUUUUCCUGUGUUGUUCAAACAUUUUUGAAAUGCAUUUUCAGAUUUAUGUAAGGUUUUUUUCUUCCCCUUCUCCUCAUUUUGGUUCUGGGGUGCUCUAAAAAUUAAUCUGUGUUUCCUUGGUUUCUAGGUCAUUAAGGUUUGGGGCUGUGCUGCUUGCCUUCUUCUUUUCUUCGUCCACUCUCACAAAGUUUGGAGAGGAUAAGAAGCGAACACUAAGGAAGGUGGUCAAAGAAACUG
rnacentral:lncRNA from 1 species